rnacentral:lncRNA from 1 species
UUUAUGUAUUUAUUUUCUAUGGGUGACUGUAACUUAGUACUUUGGAGUUUAGGGUGAAGUUGGGGGAAGAUAUUAGAAGAGAAAAAAAAAGCAGAGAACAGGGCAAAAAGAAACUCAAGGAGGUAAGUCUUUUGGGAAAAGGCCUGGGGAGCCUGUUCACUUUCCUAGCGAAUCUAUUUAGGUAAGAACAGCAUCUUCAAGACUCCAAACAUGAAUAUUUUUAUUGAGAUUUCUGGUUUGGGUUGUGGUGUUUGGUCCAGCCACCUUCUUUGGAAUGAAAGCCACGAAAAAUAUGACCUUCUAUCCUUCUCUAGUUGCCCACAUCUGUCUGAGGAUCUGGAUAAUUGGAGGGUGUGGAAAGAAAGCCAUGGAGGACUUGUAUCCAUCUGGAGAAUGGAAAGAAUCCAAAUUUCAGUGACCUGAGAAGCUGUCACACCCUUUGUUUCAAACAGCCCCUUUGAACAGAGCAUGUCUUGACAGAGAAGGGUAUAGGUAAGUGUUGGAGGUGAAGGAUC